AGGUCAUGAGAAGCCAUCUUCAUAUAUUAAGAUAGGGAUGCAAAAGAAUAAUGAAUAAGGCAUUACCUAAGGCAAAGAAAUCAAUGUCCACAUCCAUGAGAGUGGUUGGCCAAAGAGCCAUAAUAAGAGAUUAUAGAACUCGCAGCAAUGAUCAUUAAUCUUGAACACUCAUGAGACAAGUAGUGGACACGUAUGGACGAGGUCUAUGACCCGAACAUGGAUCAGCCAGAUUGAAACAUGGUCAAACGGUAAAUAUAAAUAGCCAAAUUAAAGAGUUGACAGUAGACAAUCACGUCUAGAUCAUGAACACAUGCAAACACGAUUUUGCAUAGACCCAAUAGUGAUCUCCGAGGAUAAUGUGGUUCACAUUGUUUAGCACACAUGCUUUACCGGGACACUCGAUGUCAAAAGACAUGGGAAACGAUCUAAGAGGUCGAAGUGGUCUAGUUACGGCUUAGUAAUGAACAUAGCCAAUUACUCCCUUCCUACAUAUAUAGGAAAGAUCACUCACUAGAUGCGUAGAAUGUAGAACCUACACUGAGGUUCACAUCAGGGGGAGCAGUGCGUGUUGUACUCUUUUUCCUUCAUCAUGGUUUUGUCCCACUGGGUUUCCUGAUAAGGUUUUAAUGAGGCAACAUGAAGCGUACUACAAAUCCUGUAUGGUUAUGGAAUCCAAAGGGGAGUGUUAUAAAUCAUGGAAAGGAUUGCCAUUAACCAAGACAAGAAGAGAAGGCCCAUCGGCCAUGAUCAGGCCCAGCCGCGGCCGCGGCUUAAAGAGAGAGAGAUAGGCGCCCACAAGCUUGGAGAAAAGGAAACCCUUUUCCUUUUCCUAGUAGAUGUAAUCUUUCCAUUUAUGUAUUUAGUAAUUAUCCUAAAUCUACUCAGAUUAGGAUUUUUAUACUUUCCUUUUAUCUCUAUCUUGUAAUCCUUAUAUAAGGAACCCCCAUUAUCAUUAAUAAUAACAUAGAAAUAUUCAGUCUCUAAGCUCUCUAAUUACAACAGGAAAGAGUUAUCUUUUCUGUUUAGCAGCCUGCCCACCCUGGAAACGGCUCAGCCGGAGGUAGGGUCCAGCGGCUGGAAGAGCACCGCACAUCGCGUGAUGUCCGGUGCAUUCCCGGCGGCCCUUGAAAAUCCGGAGGACCUAGUGCGCUCCGCCCAGUCGUACUCAGUUCCAAAAACCGUCGACUGUUGGCGGGCUGCUUGAGCUACUAACGCGAUGGCGAGAGCGGACCACCUCGUGGUCGGCGGGGACGGACUGGGAACGGCUCUUUCGGGGUCUUUCCUGGGCGUCGAACAGCCAACUCAGAACUGGUGCGGACAAGGGGAAUCCAACUGUUUAAUGUAAACAAAGCAUUGCGAUGGUCCCGCGGAUGCUAACGCAAUGUGAUUUAUGCCCGGUGCUCUGAAUGUCAAAGUGAAGACAUUCAACCAAGCGCAUGUAAAUGGCGGGAGUAACUAUGACUCUCUUAAGGUAGCCAAAUGCCUCGUCAUCUAAUUAGUGGACGCGCAUGAAUGGAUUAACGAGAUUCCCCACUGUCCUUGUCUACUAUCCAGCGAAACCAUAGCCAAGGGAACGGGCUUGGCAGAAUCAGCGGGGGAAAGAAGACCCUGUUGAGCUUGACUCUAGUCCGACUUUGUGAAAUGACUUGAGAGGUGUAGAAUAAGUGGGAGCUCCGUAUGCAAGUGAAAGACCACUACUUUUAACGUUAUUUUACUUUACUCUGCGUGAAUCGGAGGAGGGGGUAACAACCCCUUCUUUUAGACCCUAGACUCGCUUCAGCCGGGUCAAUCCGGAGGAGGACAUUGUCAGGUGGGGAGUUUGGCUGGGGCGGCACAUCUGUUAAAAGAUAACGCAGGUGUCCUAAGAUGAACCCAACGAGAACAUAAAUCUCAUGUGGAACAAAAGGGUAAAAGCUCGUUUGAUUCUGAUUUUCAAUGCUGAAUACUGAACUGUGAAAGCGUGGCCUAUCGAUCCUUUAGACCUUGAAAUUUGAAGCUAGAGGUGUCAGAAAUAGCGAAGUUGCUUUUUGAUCCUUCGAUGUCGGCUCUUCUCCUAUCAUUGUGAAGCAGAAUUCACCAAGUGUUGGAUUGUUCACCCACCAAUAGGGAACGUGAGCUGGGUUUAGACCAUCGUGAGAGACAGGUUAGUUUUACCCUACUGAUUCCAGCGUCACAAUAAUAAUUCAACCUAGUACGAGAGGAACCGUUGAUUCACACAAUUGGUCAUCGGCUUGGUUGAAAAAGCCAGUGGCAUAAAGCUACCGUCGCUGGAUUAUGACUGAAUGCCUCUAAAGUCAGAAUCUGGGCUAGAAACGAUGCAUCAUCGCCCGCCGCCCGAUUUCCGACCCUCAGUAGGAGAUUCGGCUCCCAAAGGCACAUGUCGUUGUCUAAGUCCGUUUGGCGGAAGCGCCCGUUUGGACCGCCUUUGAAUUAUAAUUACCCCGCGGUGGGUAGAAUCCCUUGCAGGCGAC
rnacentral:rRNA from 1 species